rnacentral:rRNA from 1 species
UACGGGGGGGGCAAGCGUUGUUCGGAAUUACUGGGCGUAAAGGGCGCGUAGGCGGCCUGUUAAGUCGAACGUGAAAUCCCCGGGCUCAACCCGGGAACUGCGUCCGAUACUGGCAGGCUUGAAUCCGGGAGAGGGAUGCGGAAUUCCAGGUGUAGCGGUGAAAUGCGUAGAUAUCUGGAGGAACACCGGUGGCGAAGGCGGCAUCCUGGACCAACACUGACACUGAGGAGCGAAAGCCAGGGGAGCAAACGGG